rnacentral:rRNA from 1 species
CCUACGGGAGGCAGCAGUGGGGAAUAUUGCACAAUGGGGGAAACCCUGAUGCAGCGAAGCCGCGUGAGAGAUGAAGUAUUUCGGUAUGUAAAGCUCUAUCAGCAGGGAAGAAGAUGACGGUACCUGACUAAGAAGCCCCGGCUAACUACGUGCCAGCAGCCGCGGUAAUACGUAGGGGGCAAGCGUUAUCCGGAUUUACUGGGUGUAAAGGGAGCGUAGAGGGCGAUGCAAGCCCGAGGUGAAAGCCCGGGGGUCAACCCCGGGACGGCAUUUGGAACUGUGUGGCUGGAGUGUCGGAGAGGCAGGCGGAAUUCCUAGUGUAGCGGUGAAAUGCGUAGAUAUUAGGAGGAACACCAGUGGCGAAGGCGGCCUGCUGGACGAUGACUGACGUUGAGGCUCGAAAGCGUGGGGAGCAAACAGGAUUAGAUACCCGAGUAGUC